rnacentral:tRNA from 1 species
GCCUGUAUAGCUCAUGGGUAGAGCUUUUCCUUGGUAAGGAAAGGGUAGUUAGUUCAAGUCUAACUAUAGGCU